GACGUAGGGGGCCAGCGUUACUCGGAAUUACUGGGCGUAAAGCGUGCGUAGGUGGUUCGUUAAGUCUGUCGUGAAAGCCCCGGGCUCAACCUGGGAAUGGCGAUGGAUACUGGCGAGCUAGAGUGCGGUAGAGGAGAGUGGAAUUCCCGGUGUAGCAGUGAAAUGCGUAGAGAUCGGGAGGAACAUCAGUUGCGAAGGCGGCUCUCUGGACCAGCACUGACACUGAGGCACGAAAGCGUGGGGAGCAAACAGG
rnacentral:rRNA from 1 species